CGACCCAUUUUUUUCUUUUUUUCUUGCAGUCACCUCCUUUCUGUUCCUGUUGGUUGCUACCGAAUUGUUGAUCCUUAGGCAAUUUCUUUUUCUUUUCGCCCACCCUUCAUAUUGCUGAUUCUUGUCUUCUCCACUCUGUCAUUCUGUUUUUCUAUCGUUGAUUGUUCUCGUGGUUUGGUUCUUGUCAUUAUUCUGGUAAGUAAAACUUCGACACCUUUUUUUGUGUCUAAUUUAAAUAUUGAUUGGAUGUUG
rnacentral:lncRNA from 1 species